rnacentral:rRNA from 1 species
ACAAGUACCGUGAGGGAAAGUUGCAAAGCACUUUGAAGAGAGAGUUAAAGAGGACGUGAAACCGAUGAGAUCGAAACGGAUAGAGUCAGCGUAUCUGACCUGUAUUCAGCCGCACAUCUGUCAGUCGUCAUAUGUUGAUUUCCAGACUGGGACAGUGUGUGGUUAGCUGAUUGUUGUGUGGUGCAUUUGCAGGUGGAGUGCGUCGAGACGCUCGAUGUGGCGACAUGAGCUCAGUUUUGAGGCCAGCUUGCUGGUACCCGAAUUGGAGGAAUGUUGUUCACGGUGAGUGGAAUUGGCAAGGCCUACGAGUCCGGUUGGGCAUCGAGCUGGCAGUCGGCGUCGGUCGCAUGCGACACGUGCUGUGCAGUCAGUUCGGUCCUAGUCGAGCUCACAAGCCUAUUCUCGGCGUAAAAGCUGGUCAUCUAUCCGACCCGUCUUGAAACACGGACCAAGGAGUUUAUCGUGUGCGCAAGUCAUUGGGCGUUGAAAACCCAAAGGCGCAAUGAAAGUGAACGCAUCCGCAAGGAGCUGACGUGCGAUCCCGGGUACUGCGGUGCCCGAGCGCAGCAUGGCCCCAUCCCGAUUGCUUGCAAUGGGGUGGAGGAAGAGCGUACGCGGUGAGACCCGAAAGAUGGUGAACUAUUCCUGAGCAGGAUGAAGCCAGAGGAAACUCUGGUGGAAGUCCGAAGCGAUUCUGACGUGCAAAUCGAUCGUCUGACUUGGGUAUAGGGGCGAAAGACUAAUCGAACCAUCUAGUAGCUGGUUCCUUCCGA